rnacentral:tRNA from 1 species
CGGAUAGUGGCGCAAUUGGUAGACGCCCGCGCCUUAAAAGCGACGAGUCCGCAAGGAAUGCGAGUUCGAGUCUCGCCUAUCUGACCA